rnacentral:rRNA from 1 species
UGGCCGUAAACGAUGUGGACUUGGUGUUGGAAUGGCUCCGAGCUGCUCCAGUGCCGAAGGGAAGCUGUUAAGUCCACCGCCUGGGAAGUACGGUCGCAAGACUGAAACUUAAAGGAAUUGGCGGGGAGCACCACAACGCGUGGAGCCUGCGGUUUAAUUUGGAUUCAACGCCGGACACCUCACCAGGGGCGACAGCAGAAUGAUGGCCAGGUUGAUGACCUUGCUUGACAAGCUGAGAGGAGGUGCAUGGCGUGUGACUGU